GUGCCUUGAUAAUUUCUCACCUUGAAAUAAUUUAUGGUGAAAGAUGUAUACUGUGUUACCAAACAUCUGAAUUUGGUGAGGUUAGAAAGCUGAGGCUGGUGACCAUUAGAAUUACAGCUUCACAGCAGAAGUCAAUUUUUCACAGUUCCCUUCAAGGCUUUUUGAGAGAGAGGAAAAAAAUAUUUCAAAGCACAGAAGACUCAUCUCAGUAUAGAUUCUAUCCCAAAUGCAAGUCUCUUCUACAGGACGGAGAGGAGGAACCAGGUGUAAAGCCUACCUCAAAACACCUCUGCUUUUGGAAUGCUUCACACUAGUCAGGGGGAGAAUUAUUUAUGAACAACGCACUCCAGUGAAGACUGAGAAGUGGCAGAUCAAAUUGCGCAAACUAUUAAAAGCAUCGGAUUGUCAGGCUUGAAGGGUGAACUCGACAACUUCUUCUUGGAGAUCAGACAUUUGGCUGCUGGAUAAUAAAGACUGGAAUGAGCUCAAAGAUCCCAAAAGAAUGACUCCUGUAAAAAGAACACAGUAUUUGCCCAUGUUUCAAAUUUCAAUGGGUUUUGUAAUAUUUGGAUCAUAAAGUCCUUAAGCCUUUGAAUUUCAUUGCCCAUUAAGGUUUGAUUUCCUUCUAAGAAAAUCUAUUUCUGAACCUUGGAAACAUCAAAUGGAGAAAGAGUAUAGAAAAGGCAAUAACAAAUGUAUGGUAGAUGGCUGAGUUCCUUCCAAUUAAAUUCAGAUAUCAUUUGGAUUAUCAGAUAUUAUGAAAUCUACAUCAAAAAUUCAUAUUCACUAUAAGUAUUGCCAUGAGUUUUAGAAACCAUUGUAUAGGCCUAACAUAGUCCAAGACCCAAUCUGUUUCCAUUUUGAAUAGAACACGGACUCUACAUCAGGCUUUCUCAAACAUUCAAAACAGAAGGAUAGUUCACAGCCCCUUAAACUGUUGGGGGGCUGGACUAUAGUUUGAAUAAAUCCCUGCACAUAUCUUUUUUGUAUUGCAAAAAAUAAAACAAAAAAAACAAUAGAAUAUUUAAAACGAAGAACCAUUUAACCAAUAUAAACUUAACAAGAUGGUCAGUUUCUCAAGUCGCUCCUGACACGAAAAAAAAAGUGGGGGCUGGGUAAAUGAUAUUGGAGGGCCGCAUUCUGCUUGUGGG
rnacentral:lncRNA from 11 species